GUGAAUAUAGUUUAAUUGGUUAGAAUUUAAUUUUGCCAAAAUUAAGGUUAUGCGUUCAAAUCGCAUUAUUCACA
rnacentral:tRNA from 1 species